rnacentral:tRNA from 2 species
GGGGAGGUGGCCGAGCGGUUGAAGGCGCUCGCCUGCUAAGCGAGUAUGCGGGUAAUGCCCGUAUCGAGGGUUCGAAUCCCUCCCUCUCCG